rnacentral:rRNA from 1 species
AUGGCAGCUUCCGCCGGAAAGAAAGAGGCCGCCUGGCCUGCCACCAUGGCGCGGUACGAGCGGCUCGAGAAGCUGGGAGCGGGCAUCAACGGGGAAGUGUUCAAGGCGUGGGACACCCAGGACAACCUGAUCGUCGCCGUCAAGCGGCUCAGCGGGAGCGGCGACGACGGCUUCAUUAUCUCCGGCCUACCGGAGGUCAUGCGGGAGGCCAUGUGCCUGGGAGCCUGCCGCAGCAUCCCCUCGAUCGUGCAGCAUCGCCGGACCUACGCUGACGCAUGCUCCGAGACCGGCGACUCCUUCAUCGUGAUGGACUACGUCGGGCGCCUCAACCUACGCGGCUACAUGCAGCGCCGGGUCCGUCUUCGUCGGGCGUUCUCCGAGGACGAGGUGCGCCGGAUCAUGAAGCAGCUCGUGGAGGGGGUGAAGGCCGUGCACGGCGUGGACAUCCUGCACCUCGACAUCAAGCCGGAGAACGUGCUCCUCGACGACGGCACAGAGGACAGGACGCAGAGGCCCAAGAAGGGGGCCGUGGAAGCCGAUGUUCGCGGCGAGGUCAAGGACAACCGCAUAGUCUACAAGAUCGGCGGUUUCGGGAUGUCCACGAAAGGGCGGGGAAAGAAGCAGCCGGAGGUGAUUAUUCUGACGCCGUACAGCGCGCCGGAGCUCCUGCUGCACUCGCGCGAGUACGACGAUCGCGUGGACACGUGGGGGCUGGGAUGCAUAAUGGCCGACCUCCUCUCGGGCACCGGCGCCUCCAUGUUCGACGGCGAGUCGGACAUAGAGAUCAUGGCUAAAGUGUUUGGCAUCGUCGGCACGGAGGGGAUCAAGGAGUGGUCUGGAUACUCGGGGCUAGCGGCAGAUCAGAAGUCGAAGCUGCCGGGGAAGGGGGGCGUCAGCCGCCUUCGGCAAAAGUUUCCCAGUCGCAAGUUGUCGUCGGCCGGGUUCGAGGUGCUCAGCGGGCUGCUGGAGAGCAACCCGGAGAAGCGGCUUACCGCAGCGGAGGCGCUUCAGAAGCCUUGGUUCGGCAAACAACGACGUGGCUUUGCUGGUUUCUUCAAGUCGUGCAUGGUUGGAGUCCUACCGGAGAUUUAG